rnacentral:rRNA from 1 species
UACGUAGGGGGCUAGCGUUGUCCGGAAUCAUUGGGCGUAAAGAGCGCGUAGGCGGCUGGCAUAGUCCGGUGUGAAAUCCACAGGCUUAACCUGUGAAUGCCGCUGGAAACUGUCUGGCUAGAGUCCGGAAGGGGCGAGUGGAAUUCCUGGUGUAGCGGUGAAAUGCGCAGAUAUCAGGAGGAACACCAAUGGCGAAGGCAGCUCGCUGGGACGGUACUGACGCUGAGGCGCGAAAGCGUGGGGAGCGAACAGG